rnacentral:rRNA from 1 species
GAUGAACGCUGGCGGCGUGCCUAAUACAUGCAAGUAGAGCGCUAAAGGAGGAGCUUGCUGUUCUGGAUGAGUUGCGAACGGGGGAGUAACGCGUAGGUAACCUGCCUGGUAGCUGGGGAUAACUAUUGGAAACGAUAGCUAAUACCGCAUGACAACAGUCAUUGCAUGAUAACUGUGGGAAAGGGGCAACUGCUGCACUACCAGAUGGACCUGCGUUGUAUUAGCUAUUUGGGGAGGUAACGGCUCACCAAGGCGAAGAAACAUAUCCGACCUGAGAGGGUGGACGGCCACGAUGGGAACGGAGAACGGGCCAGGCCUCCUACGGGAGGAGGCGGAGGGGAUUUUUGGACAAGGGGGGAAGUCUGAAUCCAGAACGCCGGGUGAGUGGAGAAGGGUCUCGGAUCGGAAAGGUCUGUUGUAAGAGAAGAAAGAGCGUGAGGGUGGAACGUUGACAUUGUGACGGUACCUAAAGAAAAAGCACCGGCUAACUACGUG